rnacentral:snRNA from 1 species
GUUCUCCUUGGCAGGUCAUAAACUAAGAUUGGAAUGAUACAGAGAUUAGCAUGGCCCCUGUGCAAGGAUGACAUGUAAAUUUGUGAAGUAUUUCAUAUUUUU